rnacentral:lncRNA from 1 species
CGUGGGGGAGGGCGAAGGGGGAGGCCUCACCCCACAGCGUGCAGCCGGGAGGAGGAACCGGUCGCGGAGGGCGGGGAGCGCGGCUGAGCAGCCCGGCGCGGGAGUGAGUGUGGGCGAGCCAGCCAGGGUGAGCGCGGGCGCCGGGCCGCGGCCGCCGGCCGCAGCGGGCUGAGAUUGUUGUCCUCUGUCACCAGGGCGGCUGGGCUCCCGCAGUUCUGCAGACCGCGCCCGAUCCCGGCGACAGGGCGGGCGGACAGCCGCGCAUCUCCGGGGUCCCGCCGAGCCUGGGCGCAGCGAGCCGGGAGGAGACGUUCGCUCGCUUCGCCUUGCUGCUGGGGAAACUGAACGAGGCCGAGAGAGAGGCAGGUUCUUGAGUUCAUGUAAGAGGACAGUCUUAAAACGGAAGAAGAAAAAGAAGCAGUUCAGUCUUUGGGAGAGCUGCCUCCUUGUUGAGUGCUGCAAAGGCCUGGAAUUCAUUUAUGACAGAAUAGAUCUAGAAAAGUCCAAGCAUGUUUUCUAGAGGGGUGUAGCCCUGUGCUGCCUCCAGUGAAGAGUCUCUUGGUGUUGGCUUCGUGCUUCCGGAGGGACCAUGGCAACCUCCAGAGGGGCCUCCCGGUGUCCUCGGGAUAUCGCCAAUGUGAUGCAGAGGCUGCAAGAUGAGCAAGAGAUAGUACAAAAACGAACUUUCACAAAAUGGAUCAACUCUCAUCUGGCCAAGCGGAAACCUCCAAUGGUGGUGGACGAUCUUUUUGAAGACAUGAAAGAUGGUGUUAAACUGCUUGCCCUUCUGGAGGUCCUGUCUGGGCAGAAACUGCCUUGUGAACAAGGACGCCGGAUGAAGCGAAUCCAUGCUGUGGCUAACAUUGGCACGGCACUCAAGUUCCUCG